rnacentral:rRNA from 1 species
UAGAGUUUGAUCCUGGCUCAGGAUGAACGCUGGCUGGCGUGCUUAACACAUGCAAGUCGAACGAAGCAUUUAGAACGGAUUAUUUCGGUAUGAAGUUCUUUAUGACUGAGUGGCGGACGGGUGAGUAACGCGUGGGUAACCUGCCUUGUACUGGGGGAUAGCAGCUGGAAACGGCUGGUAAUACCGCAUAAGCGCACAAUGUUGCAUGACAUGGUGUGAAAAACUCCGGUGGUAUAAGAUGGGCCCGCGGCGCAUUAGCUAGUUGGUGAGGUAACGGCUCACCAAGGCGACGAUGCGUAGCCGACCUGAGAGGGUGAUCGGCCACAUUGGGACUGAGACACGGCCCAAACUCCUACGGGAGGCAGCAGUGAGGAAUAUUGGUCAAUGGACGAGAGUCUGAACCAGCCAAGUAGCGUGCAGGAAGACGGCCCUAUGGGUUGUAAACUGCUUUUAUAAGGGAAUAAAGUGAGUCUCGUGAGACUUUUUGCAUGUACCUUAUGAAUAAGGACCGGCUAAUUCCGUGCCAGCAGCCGCGGUAAUACGGAAGGUCCGGGCGUUAUCCGGAUUUAUUGGGUUUAAAGGGAGCGUAGGCCGGAGAUUAAGCGUGUUGUGAAAUGUAGAUGCUCAACGUCUGCACUGCAGCGCGAGCUGGUUUCCUUGAGUACGCACAAAGUGGGCGGAAUUCGUGGUGUAGCGGGUGAAAUGCUUAGAUAUCACGAAGAACUCCGAUUGCGAAGGCAGCUCACUGGAGCGCAACUGACGCUGAAGCUCGAAAGUGCGGGGUAUCGAACAGGAUUAGAUACCCUGGUAGUCCGCACGGUAAACGAUGGAUGCCCGCUGUUGGUCUGAAUAGGUCAGCGGCCAAGCGAAAGCAUUAAGCAUCCCACCUGGGGAGUACGCCGGCAACGGUGAAACUCAAAGGAAUUGACGGGGGCCCGCACAAGCGGAGGAACAUGUGGUUUAAUUCGAUGAUACGCGAGGAACCUUACCCGGGCUUGAACUGUAGGCGAACGAUUUAGAGAUGAUGAGGCCCUUCGGGGCGCCUAUGGAGGUGCUGCAUGGUUGUCGUCAGCUCGUGCCGUGAGGUGUCGGCUUAAGUGCCAUAACGAGCGCAACCCUUGUUCGUAGUUGCCAUCGGUUAAAGCCGGGCACUCUGCGAGGACUGCCUCCGUAAGGAGUGAGGAAGGUGGGGAUGACGUCAAAUCAGCACGGCCCUUACGUCCGGGGCUACGCACGUGUUACAAUGGCAUGUACAGAAAGCAGGGUGUAUGCAAAUACGCUCGAAUCCCUAAAACAUGUCUCAGUUCGGACUGGGGUCUGCAACCCGACCCCACGAAGCUGGAUUCGCUAGUAAUCGCGCAUCAGCCAUGGCGCGGUGAAUACGUUCCCGGGCCUUAAACUCACCGCCCGUCAAG